GACGAACGCUGGCGGCGUGCUUAACACAUGCAAGUCGAACGGAAAGGCCCCUUCGGGGGUACUCGAGUGGCGAACAGGUGAGUAACACGUGAGUAACCUGCCCUUGACUUCGGGAUAACUUCAGGAAACUGGGGCUAAUACCGGAUAGGAAUCCUUGCUGCAUGGUGGGGGUUGGAAAGCUUCGGCGGUUUUGGAUGGACUCGCGGCUUAUCAGCUUGUUGGUGGGGUAGUGGCUUACCAAGGCUUUGACGGGUAGCCGGCCUGAGAGGGCGACCGGCCACAUUGGGACUGAGAUACGGCCCAGACUCCUACGGGAGGCAGCAGUGGGGAAUAUUGCACAAUGGGCGGAAGCCUGAUGCAGCAACGCCGCGCGCGGGAUGACGGCCUUCGGGUUGUAAACCGCUUUCAGCAGGGGCGAAGCUUGUGGUGACGGUACCUGCAGAAGAAGCACCGGCUAACUACGUG
rnacentral:rRNA from 1 species